UACGAGUGCCCCGAGCGUUAUCCGGAAUCAUUGGGCGUAAAGGGUGUGUAGGUGGUUGUGUUAGUCGUUUGUUAAAACCUGGGGCUUAACCCCAGAUGUGCGAACGAAACGGCACGACUAGAGGAUGGCAGGGAUGUAUGGAACUCAUGGAGUAGGGGUGAAAUCCGUUGAUAUCAUGGGGAACACCAAAAGCGAAGGCAGUACAUUGGGCCACUCCUGACACUGAAACACGAAAGCGUGGGUAGCGAAUGGG
rnacentral:rRNA from 1 species